rnacentral:tRNA from 1 species
GAGCUAGUAACUCAGUUGGUUAGAGUACUCGUUUGAUAAGCGAGAAGUCAGUGGUUCAAGUCCACUCUAGCUCA